CGAGCUGGGUUUGGGGUUCAUGACUGAGUUGAAGAGGGCUUCGAGGUCGGUGUCUAGGUCCUGCGUGACGUGGAUCACUUGCUGGCCGGGUGGCGGGAGCGGAGGCGCCGAGGCCGGAUUCAUCUUCUGCAAGGAGAAAGCAUUGUCCAGACUGAAGUGAGGCCACCUUUCCUGUCUGGUCAAGGAAGGUCAAGUUCAUUGUUUGGAGCCAAGGAGAAGAGGAGAGGACCAGUCAAACCAAGACAGGCUGGAGAGAGGACCCAGGACUCAAAUUCUGCUCCAAAAGGAGCUGACCCUACAGGCAUAAAUUCAAAUCAGACAUGCUUAAAACAAUUUUAAAAUUCCCUUUAAAAAUAUAUAUUUGCAGAUAAUCUCAGAUAAGAGGGUAAAUUUGUUUUCAAGUAGUGUCUGCCACACAAUAAACCCUGAUUUGACCAAAUGGAUAUAGAUAUUUCCACUUAGUCAUAAUUAAAAGUUGUUAGUAUUUCAAUUAUCACAAUAAUACUAAAUAAUGUUUAUAUUUUACAGAUUACAAAAGAGUUUCACAGGAACAAUCACACAUGAGUCUCACAGUAAAUCAGACAAGACUUACUAGAACUUCUAUUUUCUAGAUAAGAAAAGAAAGGUUCAGAAAAAUGUGUGCCUUGCCAAAGGCCAUCAGCAUGUAACCAGAGAGCCAGAACUCACACCAUGCAGUGCCUGUAGGAUUUCAAAUUAUAUUUCUCUUAUUACUUCUUAAUUGAAUCAGUUUUAAUUGCCUCCUUUGUAAGCAUACAAAAUUAUGUUUGUUCCUCAAAAUAAAAUUUGAAUAAAGCUAAAGGAUACUUUAAAAGUUA